rnacentral:rRNA from 2 species
AACGAACGCUGGCGGCAGGCUUAACACAUGCAAGUCGAGCGCCCCGCAAGGGGAGCGGCAGACGGGUGAGUAACGCGUGGGAAUCUACCUUUUGCUACGGAAUAACGCAGGGAAACUUGUGCUAAUACCGUAUGUGUCCUUCGGGAGAAAGAUUUAUCGGCAAGAGAUGAGCCCGCGUUGGAUUAGCUAGUUGGUGGGGUAAAGGCCUACCAAGGCGACGAUCCAUAGCUGGUCUGAGAGGAUGAUCAGCCACAUUGGGACUGAGACACGGCCCAAACUCCUACGGGAGGCAGCAGUGGGGAAUAUUGGACAAUGGGCGCAAGCCUGAUCCAGCCAUGCCGCGUGAGUGAUGAAGGCCCUAGGGUUGUAAAGCUCUUUCACCGGAGAAGAUAAUGACGGUAUCCGGAGAAGAAGCCCCGGCUAACUUCGUGCCAGCAGCCGC